UAGCAGUAGAUAAGCUGCAGAAAGAGUUGGGAGCCCAGAGGAGGGGGCAAAGGGCAUAAGGGAGGGGGACAGAAGGUGAAGACGAAAGCAGACUACUGUACAUGGUUAGGGAGUAGGAGAGGUGGUGAAAAGACAAACGUUUAGAGAAGAAAAUUGUCUUUCACUGUCAGGUUUUGAAUCCGGAGGCUAUUGAAUUAGAAGCGAACAACGUAACCUCGAGGCCACGAGAGCCCCCGAGAACUUUUACAUAGGAACUGAGCUUUGCAGAGUAACAUAAAGUCGAUCCUUUUCUAACAGCCACCUGUACAAGACAAUCACCUGUACAAAACACCACUUUCCACUUCUCCCCUUCCUUUUUUCACCAUUCUAUGACACUGCUCAUGUCGUCCACCUGCCUAAGACAUUUUUCUCCUAAACAAUCAAUGGCCGUCAUAGACCAUUUAGACGGUACGUGGCUGCAAAAUAUUAUGUCUAUAUAGCCUCUGAAUUUAUUCAUGUAUGCAUUGCGACUGCCAUUGAUAUCAAUAUUAUUAUUUCCUCACAUGGGUCAAUAGAAAUAGGUUGGUGGUUGGGGGAAGCCAAUGGUGGGUCCUGUUUCGUCACCAUCCCGCUUUUAUUUUGUCUGUCUAUCUGUUUGUUUCCCCACCUUCCAUGACCACCAUCGUGUCGUUGUGCUUCCUUGUACGCAACCAAACAAUGAAAAAAAAUCCCCCCCAAAAAAGACAAGCUAGCCAAAAAGAAUGUUUUAAAAAUAUAUCUUAGUGUAUUCAGUUUAUUUGUUUCUAUUUCUGUGCAGACGACGACGAGGACGGAGACCCCAACUACUUGGUUGUAGACACGGACUACGACAGUUACGCAGUUGUCUUCUCCUGCAGACCAAUCUACGGAGUCUUCAACUUGCAGAUGGCCUGGAUUCUGACCAGGGCACAGGGUACGACGCCUGCCAAUAUUGACGACUUAAAGGACACUCUGACCUCUUUCCGUAUUGAUGUCUCUGAGUUUCGAGAAACUCGCCAGACCGGUUACUGCCCGCCAUGGAGACGUAACUAAUACAACAAACAAACAAUGGACUUGAAUAACGUUUGCCAACUCUUUACAGAAGAAUAAAAUCCUCACAGUGUUGCAAGUUAACCCAAUACAACUUUACACAGAAUAAUAAAUUAUCUGAAUCAUUGCAAA